UGGAAGGCAUCUCGCUGUCGGCUAAAAUCCGCAGUAAUAUCUCCGUCCCAUCGGCUUACUCUCAACCCAACGCGUUGGCUUCGUACACACACACAAACACGUUUGCACAUUCACGCAUACUACACCCGGUGGACGACGCGCAGCCUGCACCAAUUCACUCACACUCUCGUUCGAUGGCCCCAUCGCACUUCGUUUCACACACACUAUCCACCGCUAGCGCGCGCACAUCAUAUUACAAAACGAGAGAGAGAGAGAGCAAGAGAGCGCGACCGAGAGUUAACCAGCUUCAACAGCAAAAAUUGCUCUCUCGUAACAGCGGAAAAAAAAACAAAAAGAAGCAAAGAAGACAUCCGAAUGAAGGCAAAGGACUGUCGGAUCCACAACGUUGCUGGUAGCGAUAAAGCGGAAGGUUAGCCUGGACGAGCAAAUCAACGUUUAACACCCUUGGCCUUAAAUUGCAAUCCAAUAGAAACUAUUUCCAUUCUAAUGCUGUUUUUCCUCACCGUUCACGCGCACUAGUUCUUCUUGCUUAGAUAGGGACUAAACCUGAAAACGCUGGUAGUUUUCAGCGCGCUGACUAUCCCAAGGUGUGUACAUAUUCAAAAAGGACUAACGGUUUUAAUAAGCAGCACUCAACCGUUUGGUCGAUGCGGCCGCCCGACCGAGUGCAAUUCAAAGCACGUCUACUGCAGGCACAAAACACGGAUGAUAUAUAUGUAAGUGAAGAAUGCUGGGGGGGUCAUACGGUUGAGCGGCUAUUGAGGUGACUGAGGUAUCUGUAAAUGGUUCAAAUUAAACACCUCGGUCUAUUGAAAUCAUUCCGAACCAUAUAUUUACAAAUAAAUUAUUUCGUUAAAUCAUCAGCUUA